GGGCUGAGCCUGAUGCAGCACGCCGCGUGAGGGAUGACGGCCUUCGGGUUGUAAACCUCUUUUAGCAGGGAAGAAGCGUGAGUGACGGUACCUGCAGAAAAAGCGCCGGCUAACUACGUGCCAGCAGCCGCGGUAAUACGUAGGGCGCAAGCGUUAUCCGGAAUUAUUGGGCGUAAAGAGCUCGUAGGCGGUCUGUCGCGUCUGCUGUGAAAUCCCGAGGCUCAACCUCGGGCCUGCAGUGGGUACGGGCAGACUAGAGUGCGGUAGGGGAGAUUGGAAUUCCUGGUGUAGCGGUGGAAUGCGCAGAUAUCAGGAGGAACACCGAUGGCGAAGGCAGAUCUCUGGGCCGUAACUGACGCUGAGGAGCGAAAGGGUGGGGAGCAAACAGGCUUAGAUACCCUGGUAGUCCACCCCGUAAACGUUGGGAACUAGUUGUGGGGUCCUUUCCACGGAUUCCGUGACGCAGCUAACGCAUUAAGUUCCCCGCCUGGGGAGUACGGCCGCAAGGCUAAAACUCAAAGGAAUUGACGGCGGGCGGGGGCGGCGGGACGGGCGCGGGGCSSSGGCSGGGMGA
rnacentral:rRNA from 1 species